UUCACCUUGGAAGCAAAGCGUA
rnacentral:misc_RNA from 1 species